UACGGAGGAUGCGAGCGUUAUCCGGAUUUAUUGGGUUUAAAGGGUGCGCAGGCGGCACGGCAAGCCGGCGGUCAAAUCGCGGGGCUCAACCCCGCCCAGCCGUCGGAACUGCCGGGCUAGAGUGGGCGAGAAGUGCGCGGAAUGCGUGGUGUACCGGUGAAAUGCAUAGAUAUCACGCAGAACUCCGAUUGCGAAGGCAGCGCACCGGCGCCCUACUGACGCUCAGGCACGAAAGCGUGGGUAUCGAACAGG
rnacentral:rRNA from 1 species